rnacentral:rRNA from 1 species
CCUACGGGAGGCAGCAGUCGGGAAUCUUGCGCAAUGGGCGAAAGCCUGACGCAGCAACACCGUGUGGGCGACGAAGGCCUUCGGGUCGUAAAGCCCUGUUGUUGGGGACGAAGGGCGAAGGGUUAAUAGCCCCUAGCCUGACGGUACCCUUCGAGGAAGCCCCGGCUAACUACGUGCCAGCAGCCGCGGUAAUACGUAGGGGGCGAGCGUUGUCCGGAAUUAUUGGGCGUAAAGAGCGUGUAGGCGGUUCGGUAAGUCUGCCGUGAAAACCCGGGGCUCAACCCCGGGCGUGCGGUGGAUACUGCCGGGCUAGAGGGUGGUAGAGGCGAGUGGAAUUCCCGGUGCAGCGGUGAAAUGCGCAGAUAUCGGGAGGAACACCAGUAGCGAAGGCGGCUCGCUGGGCCAUUCCUGACGCUGAGACGCGAAAGCUAGGGGAGCGAACAGGAUUAGAUACCCUGGUAGUCCUAGCCGUAAACGAUGAACACUAGGUGUGGGGGGAGUCGAAUCCUCCUGUGCCGCAGCCAACGCGUUAAAUGUUCCGCCUGGGGAGUACGGCCGCAAGGCUAAAACUCAAAAGAAUUGACGGGGGC